AACACAUUUCAAAAUACAUCUCCUCCCUCAAACACAUAUCCGUCUUCACCCCAACGGUAACAGCUGCAGCUACAGCUAUUGACCCCCACUCCGACGCCGGCGACAAGUCGUUCCCUUCACUCCGACGCCGACAGCUCGUUCCCUUCACUCGCGAAUCUCUCUGUCUCUUUCCCUCUCAUCCGACGAAGGAUGAUUAAGAAGUAAAUUUCCCGACUCUCUCUGUGUCUCUUUCCUUCUCAUCCCUCUCAUCCAACAGUGCCAAUCUAAACAAGCUAUUUUCAAAGAAGCUAUUUUUACAUAGCAAGCAAUCAAGGAGAGUUGAAGACAGAUGUAUGUUUGCUUGACUGGAAUGUAAUCAAGCAAUCAAGAAGCUAUUUUCAAAGAAGCUAUUUUUACAUAGCAAGCAAUCAAGCAAUCAAGAAGCUAUUUUUACAUAGCAAGAUGUCAAGUUCAAGUGUCAGUGGCAGUAACUCAGAUCGGUUGACAUACGUCAACAGAAAUUGUCGUACAUGUAAUAAAAAGGCCAUGAUUCAAAUUUCUGAGACCGAUCGAAACAAAAACAAGUUAUUCUACUUUUGUAAUGAUUGUGGUUUUUAUCAGAUGGUGUUUACCUACGAAUCCAGAAUAUAGAGGUCAUCAAAUUCCAAGAGACGAAGUGCCAACUGUCGGCGAACAAGUUAUGACCGAACAACUUCGAGCUAUGACCGAACAACAAAUAGAGAUGACAGAACAACUUUGAAUUCAAAACGCAAAGAUGCAAAAGUUGAUAUAUAUAUUGUCCGUGUUACUUGUAAUUGGUGCCUUUAAACUUAUGAAGAUGUAAUAACAUAUAUAUACAUAUAUGUAAGUUAGAAGUAGAAGUAGAUGUCAAUGUACAAGUUCAAGUAGACUGAAUACUUUUGUGAUGUUUUCGAGGAAGUUAUGUUUUGUUGUGUAUUGAAACCUAAUUAUUGUACCUCUUUUGUGGUGAGCGGAAUGGAAAAUGACUUGUUCAAACUUGUA